GGCUGAGUAGCUCAGUUGGUAGAGCAGGAGGAUCAUAAUCUCUUGGUCGUGGGUUCAAUUCCCUCCUCAGCCACCA
rnacentral:tRNA from 1 species